GCGGCAGUGAAGCACAGUGGUUAAGGAGCAGGACUUACAACCCAGUGGUUGGCUGUUCAAUUCCCCGCUGGGGCA